CCGGUGUACAUUACUAUGAAUUCAACGGUCGUUGAGAUUGGUCUUCUUGCUCACACGAAAGUGAUCAUUUUGUGUUAUUGUAGUUUAUUACCAGUUUAUUCAUUUUUAGUGUCAAGUGUUAUUAUUAGUUACAUUAAUAAUUAGUGAUAUAUAAAUUGUGACAAUUAAUAACGUUAUUUUUAAUCGUUUUACACUCUAAAUACAUAUACAUACAUAUAUUUACUAUUAAUAUUAUGUCAUCAAGAAAAAAAUAUACAUUAUUAAAUAUGCAGCAACGCUUGGAUGUUUUCAAGGAUCUUCGAGGAACAGGAUUGCCAUCUAAACAAAUUUCAAAUAAAUAUGGCGUCUCCGUCAAAACAAUCCACGAGAUUCGUAAAAAUGCUUCGAAAAUCGAUGAGUUUGUAGAUAAAAGUAAAUACGAACUUAAGCGACAAAGAAUAGCAGAGCCAGUAUAUGAUGAAGUAGAUAAACAAUUGUUGGCAUGAUUCGUACAAAGAACACUUGGUGAUCGUAUAACCGAUAAUCUCAUAUGAGAAAAGGCGACGAAAGUAAAAAAAAUUUGCCGUCAUGUUUGCGAUUUAAUGUGUGAAUCGUGGCUGGUUAAUAAAAUUUAAAAGAGGUUAUGGGAUACGCUUCGGAAAGAAGUACAGAGAGAAAGCUAGCGCUGAUCAAGAUGGAACAGAUGCUUUCGUAGUUAAUUAAAAAAGAAAUAAUAGAGGAAGAAAAUAUAGGUAUGGAAAAUGUUUACAACAUGGACGAAAGUUUCUUCCGAAGAAAACACUGGCCGGAGAAGAAGAAAAAAAUCUUAGUGGACAUAAGGCGAAAAAAGAUAGAAUUACAAUUGGUUAUGAGAUUAUGCCUAUUGUAAUUUACAAAUAUAAAAACUCAAGAGCUUCGAAACACGAAGUUUCAUUAUCUAUAAUUUUUAAAUCGCAGACAAAAGAAUGGACGGACAAAACAUUAUUUUUAAAUUGAUUUGAAAACCAUUUCAAACUAUCUGUGAAACGAUAUCAGGAGGAAAAACAAAUAUCAGGGAAAGUUAUCCUGUUGUUAGAUAAUUGUGAAGUCUAUAAAGUUUCGCCACAAAAAGAUGAAGAUUUAAAAAUUAUGUAUUUACCAUACAAUACAAUAUCUAUUCUUUGACCGAUGGAUCAAGGGAUCAUAGAGAAAACAAAAAGAGUUUUCCGCUAGAAACUCCUGCAACGUUUUAACGUUUUAACGUAUGAUGGAGAAAUAUAGGAGAAAUAUGGAGAAAUGAAUUUUAUGUCGACUACAAAAUAAAAAAACUGCAUUGACAUUUUAUCCGAAUCCUGGUCGGAAGUUACACAAAAAGAUAUUAAAAAUGCCUCGAAUAGAAUUAUUAAUCCUGCCAGUAGCUCCAUUCAGUCGAAAAUAAGAGAGCUUUAACCUGAUUGGCAAGACAUGAUAAGUGAGAUCACAGGACAACAAUUCGCCCCGGCAUAUGUUACACAAUUUUUAUUAAACUGUGAUGAAGCAGAAAGAAAGGACGAAGACAUAGAAAUAAAAGAAGAAACGGCAGAACUUCAAGAAGAAGCGCAAGAAUUUGUGAAAAAGCACCAGCUUGCAUACAAUGCAUGGUGCAGGGAAUAAAGAUAUUUUUCUUAGGCAAGGAAAAUUAAAUAAGGAAUAGAGGAAAACCAUCACCGUAGGCCACGAUACUAGACGAUUCCAUGGAUGAUACACAACAAAACAAUUUAAUGUAGAAUAUAAUUUUACACUAUAACAAUGUGUAUUUUAUUUAUAUAAUCACAGCGAUAAUAGAAUCAAAUGAAUUAUACAUUAAGUAUUAAGUAAAUAAAUGUAAUCGAAAUUA